GCUGAAGUACAGAUUCUCAUACAAUCACUGAAUUUAAGCAAUGUCAAGCCUGGUCAGUACCUAGAUGGGUGACCACUUGGGAAUACCAAGUGCUGUAA